rnacentral:rRNA from 1 species
GAUCCUGGCUCAGGAUGAACGCUAGCUACAGGCUUAACACAUGCAAGUCGAGGGCAGCAUGGUCUUAGUCUUGCUUAAGGCCGAUGGCGACCGGCGCACGGGUGAGUAACACGGUAUCCAACCUGCCGUCUACUCUUGGACAGCCUUCUGAAAGGAAGAUUAAUACAAGAUGGCAUCAUGAGUCCGCAUGUUCACAUGAUUAAAGGUAUUCCGGUAGACGAUGGGGA